rnacentral:rRNA from 1 species
AUGUAUCAAAGUUGUUUGAUUACCAGGAUGGGUAGAAAUCCCAUGACAUGGAUUACACAAGCCAGGCAAUCAAUGAACUUAAGGAGAGGAAGCAUUAGCUUGAGGAGCAGGCAAAGAUUGAGGUUCAAAUGGAGAAGCUUAAGCUCAAGAAAUAACAGACGUGCAUCCUCAAGAGUCAAGAUGAUAUCAUUCAAAACACCAGGAAGGCCAUGA